GCCUACAUGGGGUCACCAGAAGGCUCCUCUCAGUGUGGGGACUCACAGAAAAGUGAAUGGAGGCAGUUCAAAUCUCAGUAUAGACUGGUGGGAUAGGAGCAUCUGGAAGUUGAGGGGUGGAGAAAUUUGUCUGGGGACUUCCAGCCUAUGCCACUAGAGCCAUUGCCAAAAUGUGAAUAGUCGCCUCUGACAUCCUGACUGGAUCUCAGGCUAAUCGCUGCCCCACCCCACCUUCUGUCCCUCUCUGCGUUCCUGUGAACUGAGUUCCCCGCAGCAUUUCCGAGGCUGCCACGUGGCUGCCAUCUUUCUCAUGGGGGAUCGUGGUGGUCACAUCAUUGGUCCUUUGCCUCUGGGAGUGUCUGAAACAUUGCAGCAACUUAAUACAUAUUUGUUGAUUGAAAGACUCGGUGACCAUUGAACAAGAGGGGCUGAUGGCAUCUUAAUGGGACUGUCAUCUCACAGCAAAAGAGAGAUGAAGAUUUAUAUACAUGCACACGAUCCACUGUGCAGGAUUGGCGAGAGACAGAAGGCAAGUUUGAGAUCCUGGAGAGAGAACUGCUGUGAGGAUGGUUAAUUCUGGAGGGAGCCUGGUC
rnacentral:lncRNA from 1 species